GGUUAAGUGAAUAAGGGCGCACGGUGGAUGCCUUGGCACUAGGAGCCGAUGAAGGACGGGACUAACACCGAUAUGCUUUGGGGAGCUGUAAGUAAGCUAUGAUCCAGAGAUUUCCGAAUGGGGGAACCCAGCAUCUUUUAUAGGAUGUUACGUCUGUGUGAAUACAUAGCACAGUCGAGGUAGACGCAGAGAACUGAAACAUCUAAGUACCUGCAGGAAGAGAAAGAAAAUUCGAUUCCCUGAGUAGCGGCGAGCGAAACGGGAAAAGCCCAAACCAACAAGCUUGCUUGUUGGGGUUGUAGGACUCCGAUAUGGUAGUCCAUUCAGAUAGUCGAAAUACUUGGAAAAGUAUGUCAAAGAGGGUAAAAACCCCGUAGACGAAAUUUGGAUGACACCUAGGAGGAUCCUGAGUACGGCGGAACACGAGGAAUUCCGUCGGAAUCCGGGAGGACCAUCUCCCAAGGCUAAAUACUCCCUAGUGACCGAUAGUGAACCAGUACCGUGAGGGAAAGGUGAAAAGCACCCCGGAAGGGGAGUGAAAUAGAUCCUGAAACCGUGUGCCUACAACAAGUUAGAGCCCGUUAAUGGGUGAUAGCGUGCCUUUUGUAGAAUGAACCGGCGAGUUACGAUAGCAUGCGAGGUUAAGUUGAAGAGACGGAGCCGUAGCGAAAGCGAGUCUGAAUAGGGCGAUUGAGUAUGUUGUCGUAGACCCGAAACCAUGUGAUCUACCCAUGUCCA
rnacentral:ncRNA from 1 species